rnacentral:lncRNA from 1 species
UUUUUCUUGAAUGGUGUCUUGCUCUGUCACCCAGGCUGGAGUGCAAUGGCGCGAUCCUGGCUCACUGCAACCUCUGUCUCCUGGAUUCAAGCAAUUCUCCCUGCCUCAGCCUCCGGAGUAGCUGGGACUACAGAUGCCUGCCAUCAUGCCCAACUAAUUUUGUGUGACCUGCAUGUGUCUGGUGUACACACUUUCUUGCCAUUAUAACCUCCUCCCCCACAAUGCUGUGAGUUAUUUCUGCAUACCCUCAAGGAGUCCUGGGUAUUCAGAAACAAGACCUGUCAACUCAUGGCACCUGAUGUUACUGUUUGCCUGCCUUGGCCUUCUGGGGCUGACAGGUGUGCACCCAGCUCGUCUUCUCCAUUGAGUACCACUCUUGCAAAACCCAGUAUCUCCCUCUAGGUCUGCCUACUUCUACUAGCCAACACCAUUUCUCCUGAUAUUGCUGCUAAUUCCCUCUAAUCACUGAUGCAGAUUCAUAAGUUCUGAUGUCCUCAGACACAAAAUUAUUAAUAGAAUUGGAAUUUAAGAGGUAACUUUCUACCUUCUUUGGUAUUACACUCUUCAUAAGGAUACCCAGGAAACAGCAGACAAGAAUCUCGUUCAAGAUGUCUGGGGUGGCCCCCUGACCAUUGCACUUGUUUAACACACUCUCGAAAUAAACCUGAGGCACUACAUGUGACUUCAGUUUGAAUUGACACAAGGCCGGAAUUGAAGACAAGUCAGGAUGAAUAAGACCAUGCUAUCCCCAGAACUAGUUCUUUCUGUUGACCAAGGCUUUGUUAAUGGACAAGGCCUGCCUUCCUUUGCAUGAGUACCUCCUGAAGACACUCCUCAGCUCCCUCUGUAAAUAGACUUCUGCAAUCCUAGUGCACCAAUUGGCUAAACGGGUCCCAUUAUUGUCAACCCAGAGGAAAGUAGGCACAACUUGGUAGAGAACUUAGCUUCUUCCACUACAUGUAACACAUUCUCUUUCUUGUUUGUAAAUUAAAUCACAUUUAUUUUUACCUAUUUUUCCUCCCUUGCCUAGAUUAGACAAGAAUUAUCUGUCUUCUUUUGUCCUGUUCACACGUGUCCUUGAUGGUUUAAUGUAUAAAUUUUAUUUAUUUGAUUUUUACUUUUAUAUUUGUUUACAUUUUCUUUAAGUAUGUUCUUUUUUCUAACUUGAUUCUUUUUUUUUUUUUUUUUUGAGAUGGAGUCUCACCCUCUUGCCAAGGCUGUAGUGCAGUGGCAUGAUCUCAGCUCACUGCAACCUCCGCCCGCCCGGGAUUGGAGCGAUUCUCCUGCCUCAGCCUCCUGAAUAGCUAGGAUUAUAGGUGCCUGCCACCAUGCCAGGAUAAUUUUUGUAUUUUUAGUAGAGAUGGGAUUUUGCCAUGUUGGCCAGGCUGGUCUCGAACUUCCGACCUUGUGGUCUGCCCACUUCGGCCUCCCAAAGUGUUGAGAUUACAAGUGUGAGCCAGUGCGCCCAGCCUCUUACUUGAUUUUUAAAUUAGGCAUUUAAAACAUUUGUGUUCAUCAAUCUGUCUUGUCAGACUCCAUUAAUUAAACGUAGGUCAUGGAUGAACCAGGGACAUCCUAU